CGCCGCCGCGAUAAGACGCUGGGCGUACGUUUCUUCGAUCGCGAGCUUGCGAUUCGAGAGACACAGUGAAGUAUACCCACAGUUAUAACACUAGUGUAGUUCGUUGUGUUUCUACACAAUAACGGCGAAAGGAUAUCAAUUCGAUGUUCCCGGGGACGAGACCUCGCAGCGGACUGAAAUCGUAUGUUUUUUUCCCCCGGCCGAUUCGUUUUAACAUCUCGCCAAAUCGAAUACAAACGACCCGUGUUUUCGUAUAUAGAGAUAUAUUAACGCCGCCUGUAGGUGACGUUUUACGGGAUUCGGUGAAAAAUCGAUAUUACGGAAAGAUCGAAUUAAUCGAUAAACUCGAUGUUCCACGGUCUACUGCUGCGUAAAAAUUGAACGGUAGCAUUGUGUCUUUAAUAGACGUUUACGUUCGCACAGU